UUUGGAAUCUGGCCCCCAGGGCCCGAGUUGUAAUCUGGAGAGGAUGUUUCUGGCAAGGUGCCUUCCGAGUUCCCUGGAACGGGACGCCGGAGAGGGUGAGAGCCCCGUACGGUUGGACACCGAGCCUCUGUGAAGCUCCUUCGACGAGUCGAGUAGUUUGGGAAUGCUGCUCAAAAUGGGAGGUAAAUUUCUUCUAAAGCUAAAUACCGGCCAGAGACCGAUAGCGCACAAGUAGAGUGAUCGAAAGAUGAAAAGCACUUUGAAAAGAGGGUUAAAAAGUACGUGAAAUUGUUGAAAGGGAAGCGCCUGUGGCCAGACUUGUGCCCCGUGGACCACCCGGCGUCUCAGCGCUGGUGCACUCCGCGGGGCGCAGGCCAGCAUCGGUUCUCCCAGGGGGAUAAAGGUGGCGGGAACGUAGCUCCCUCGGGAGUGUUAUAGCCCGCUGCGCCAUGCCCCUAGGGGGACCGAGGACCGCGCUUCGGCAAGGAUGCUGGCGUAAUGGCCACCGGCGACCCGUCUUGAAACACGGACCAAGGAGUCAAGCAUUGGGGCGAGUGUCUGGGUGCCAAACCCGCACGCGAAAUGAAAGUGAACGCAGGUGAGAGCUUCGGCGCAUCAUCGACCGAUCCUGAUGUUCUCGGAUGGAUUUGAGUAAGAGCCUUACCGCUUGGACCCGAAAGAUGGUGAACUAUGCCUGUAUAGGGUGAAGCCAGAGGAAACUCUGGUGGAGGCUCGCAGCGGUUCUGACGUGCAAAUCGAUCGUCAAAUAUGGGCAUG
rnacentral:rRNA from 1 species